rnacentral:rRNA from 1 species
AGAGUUUGAUCAUGGCUCAGAUUGAACGCUGGCGGCAGGCCUAACACAUGCAAGUCGAACGGUAACAUUUCUAGCUUGCUAGAAGAUGACGAGUGGCGGACGGGUGAGUAAUGCUUGGGAACUUGCCUUUGCGAGGGGGAUAACAGUUGGAAACGACUGCUAAUACCGCAUAACGUCUACGGACCAAACGGGGCUUAGGCUCCGGCGCAAAGAGAGGCCCAAGUGAGAUUAGCUAGUUGGUAAGGUAAUGGCUUACCAAGGCAACGAUCUCUAGCUGUUCUGAGAGGAAGAUCAGCCACACUGGAACUGAGACACGGUCCAGACUCCUACGGGAGGCAGCAGUGGGGAAUAUUGCACAAUGGGGGAAACCCUGAUGCAGCCAUGCCGCGUGUGUGAAGAAGGCCUUCGGGUUGUAAAGCACUUUCAGUUGUGAGGAAAAGUUAGUAGUUAAUACCUGCUAGCCGUGACGUUAACAACAGAAGAAGCACCGGCUAACUCCGUGCCAGCAGCCGCGGUAAUACGGAGGGUGCGAGCGUUAAUCGGAAUUACUGGGCGUAAAGCGCACGCAGGCGGUUUGUUAAGCUAGAUGUGAAAGCCCCGGGCUCAACCUGGGAUAGUCAUUUAGAACUGGCAGACUAGAGUCUUGGAGAGGGGAGUGGAAUUCCAGGUGUAGCGGUGGAAUGCGUAGAUAUCUGGAGGAACAUCAGUGGCGAAGGCGACUCUCUGGCCAAAGACUGACGCUCAUGUGCGAAAGUGUGGGUAGCGAACAGGAUUAGAUACCCUGGUAGUCCACACCGUAAACGCUGUCUACUA